rnacentral:rRNA from 1 species
UACGGGGGGGGCAAGCGUUGUUCGGAAUUACUGGGCGUAAAGGGCCCGUAGGCGGCCAACUAAGUCAGACGUGAAAUCCCUCGGCUUAACCGGGGAACUGCGUCUGAUACUGGUUGGCUUGAAUCCGGGAGAGGGAUGUGGAAUUCCAGGUGUAGCGGUGAAAUGCGUAGAUAUCUGGAGGAACACCGGUGGCGAAAGCGGCUCACUGGAUCGAAACUGACGCUGAGGUGCGAAAGCUAGGGUAGCAAACGGG